GAAACCCAAAAGAUCGAAUGGGGAGAUUCAUCGUCAGCUCAUUUUGUAUAUGUAUGAGUUAUGAUGCGNNAGUUACUCUUNNGUAGUAUUGCUNUGUACAUACUUUUACAUUUAUUUGCAAGAUGUUGUCGGCGUGCACUUCUCCCCUAGUAGAACGUCGCGACCCGUUGGGUGUCGGUCUACGACCCGAGNUGGUAGACUUUAAUAUUNNUUANNUUAUAUUAAAGACCCUUGGUGUUNUUCUGACCGGCUGCCCGGCGGUACUCGUACGGUAUUUAGCCGCAANUUUANNNUUUGCGUCCAUGUCCGUCGCAAGCGAGGCUAAUUUCUGGUAGUNACGGACCUAGUGCCGUCGCUGGGAUUGGCCAGCUGUUGGUUGUNAUGGAAUUCUA
rnacentral:rRNA from 1 species